AGAUGGUGGUGGAGGCCAGCCAACCACGUUGAGCAAACGGUGGCCCAAAUUUGAUCCUCACAUCAUACGUGGCCCUUCCCAGGCACAACGCAGAACCAGAACUUUUACCCUCUCCAAAUUCAGAUAACCUGAUUUCCCAGGUGGCUCAGUGCUAAAGAAUCCUCCUGCCAGUGCAGAAGACACAAGAGAUGCAGGUUCAAUCCCUGAGUUGGAAAGAUCUGGAAUAGGAAAUGGCAACUGAUUACAGUAUUUCUUGCCUGGAAAAUACCAUGGACAGAGGAGCCUGCGGCCUACAGUCUAUGGAGUCUCAAAGAGCUGAUCACGACUGAGCACAUGGACACAAUUCAGAUAAAGGGGAUCCAGUCAUGUCCCAAAGCACUCAGUGAUUUCCCAGAAUUCCCUCUGCUGCUUGGUAAAUUGGGAUUUUUCUCCGCUGCUGUGGAAGAAGAAACUAAAGCUUAAGCAACACACAGGAAGAGGCAACUCCAGGAGGGGAACUCAGGUUUCAGGAAGAUUAAAGGACUCAACACAUGGAAAGCAGUCAGCACAACGCCUGCCCAUCUUGUGCACUCAGCAUACAUCAGCUGUUCUUACUUCCAGGAGAGGUGGGGAAGAAUCCCCGUCUAAAUUUCCAGCUAAUCUCAGCAUGAGGAGUAAGUCAGCAGCCCUCUGAAGGCCUCCUUGGGGCACAGCCUACUCUCUGCAGGGUGUUCCCCAUCUGAGCCCUAUCUACACCAGCUCUUGCAGAUGACUGGAUCCUAAGCACACAGACCUCCCCAAUUCCCACUUCCCCCAGCAAUUUUUGUGACUCUGCUUUAACCUAUAAACUGAAGGGCAAGGCAGGGGAUGUUUUCCUGUUCUCUUUAAUCUGGUAUGUAAUAAAUUAUGCCUAUUUAAUCCUUUAACAACUGAACAAAUGACUGAAUCAGUCUUAGAACAUUCAGCAAUCCCUUUUUAUGAAAACUUAAUUUGAAGUCUAUGUAAUAGCAGAGAGAGAGAGAGAAAGAGAAGGAGGGAGCGAAGGAGACAAGAGACCAGAAAGCAGCAAUCCCCCGGCACCAUCCUGGAUGGGCUGCCAAAGGCAGGGGCUAAGG
ensembl:lncRNA